UAUUGUGACUCUGAAAACUGUUCACAGGCUAGUGGUAACUGAGAUUCACUGGUUGUCAUGUUUGGCUUUUUGUAACAGUGUUGGUUGGGAUAAUUACUUUACCGGUUGUGUGAGUUAUGUUCUUGAUAUUUGUCUGCAUGCUGCAUGUGUGUCUUACUGCAAAUAGUAUGCAUUCUGGGUGGUCUAGUGCAAGGUGCGUGCAACAGGAUCAGGCAUAGUCUGUUGCAUGUGUCCGGGUGUUCUUAAAAAGGCCAUUUCUUGAGCUUCUACUUGUGCUGUUCUUGGCUUAAUUGAAAGAACUUACUGUGCACUGAGAAUCUAGACUUCAGUUGUGACAUUGGUGUUCUAGCCUAUUAAGUGGCGUGAAAGGGUUCAGCUCUUGUGCGACUUUCCAGGAUGAGAUGUUGGGAACAAGCUCAUCUUGUCACAUGGGUUGAAAA
rnacentral:lncRNA from 1 species